CACGUUUAAGUAAUUGCGCUCAGGCACUUUCUCAGUCGCCUACACUGGGUCCUUCAUUCCUCCUGAAGGACUUUUCUGGUUGCCUGUCCACGUGGAGAUGAGUGUCAUCAUGCGCUCUUAAAGCGGUAAAGAUGGCUUCAUUGUGUAGCAUGUGGGUGAGCAGGCCUGCAGGGUCAGGGUUACAUGACACCUGGGUCUAUAUUCACCAAGGAGUGAUCCUUUCUAAUGGAGGUAAAUUACCCAGCAUUCAAGGACUAGUGGCGUGUGAGAUGCUGUUUUCUGCGAGAUUUGUGAAUCUGCACUACAUUCUUUUAUAAAUAAAACCUUCUGCUUAACAGUCUUGUCUUUUGUAUGUGGAUGUUUUUUGGUCUCUUGAAAAUCAGUUUAAAUGUUUUGUGGUACACGGCAUAAAAAGUAAAUAGUCCAAACUUUUCUCAGUUUCCACAUUAGAAAUAGUUGUUCCACUUUUCACUUGCGGUGUCUUUAGCAUUGUUUGUAGCAUUACAAAUUAUUUUUCUCAUGUGCAUAUCUCAGAUAGCUAUGACCCUUUUGAUAUAUGGCCACCUGACAAAUAUUUCACAGUCUCUUGGAUUAUAGGAUUUCACAUCACGGG
rnacentral:lncRNA from 1 species